rnacentral:rRNA from 1 species
CAGUAGCCACGGGAAUACAGAGGGUGCAAGCGUUAAUCGGAAUUACUGGGCGUAAAGCGCGCGUAGGUGGUUUGUUAAGUUGGAUGUGAAAUCCCCGGGCUCAACCUGGGAACUGCAUCCAAAACUGGCAGGCUAGAGUAGGGCAGAGGGUGGUGGAAUUUCCUGUGUAGCGGUGAAAUGCGUAGAUAUAGGAAGGAACACCAGUGGCGAAGGCGACCACCUGGGCUCAUACUGACACUGAGGUGCGAAAGCGUGGGGAGCAAACAGGAUUAGAUACCCCCGUAGUCCCUGUCUCUUAUAC